UGGGCUUGUGGCUGACACUCCCACUGCGAGCAAGGUCAUGCACAUCUGCCCAUCCCACCGUGCAGCUGGGCAAACUGAGGAUGGGAGCUUGGGUGAUGGCCCAGGUCCCCAGCACUCCAGAGCCAGUUGCCCACCCUCCUCAUGGCUUCCACACCUGUCCUCCCUCAGCACAGGACAUGGUUGACGACCACAAGCCCCGGCCCUCCCCAUGUGGGGAGCUCCCGGUCUGCAGCCUCUGGCAUGGAGAAGUGGCCACGACCUGGCUUGGGCCCUUGCAGGUGCUGGAUCUCCUCAGCCAGGCAUGUGUUGCUACAACCUGCUCAACUUCAUUACACAUUCACUGUAUAAAUAAAAGGAACAUAUGAGCAACCAA